rnacentral:lncRNA from 1 species
UACCAUCCACUGAAGGUAACUCCUGUACCUACAUUUCUUUAGCAGGAUUGCAUUAGUUAUUGCAGAGAUUGUAUUAUUUGUGCAUCACUAAAGAAGACAUCUAAAGAAAUUACCUUGCACAGAUCUUGAUGGUAUAACUUCCAUAAUCUUCUUUUUCAUUCAACACACAUUUUAUUUGGGAACAUAGUUGUAUGUUGAAUGUAUACAUCUCUGUAUAAUUGAAAUAGCUUCCAUGUAUAUGCAUCUCCUUCUAUAUUGUUCAACAAUUAUAGUCGGACACUGUUUCAGUUAUGCCCAUCAUUGAUACUGCGUGAUGGCUGAAUCUGACAGAGAGUGGUGGCUGGGUCAGCCAUAUACGGGUGCCGUUGUUUUGGAGCUUGAGAGGCCAGAUCAAAGUCUACAUAAUUCAGUAUGCUUCCUUAUCUUCUUCUUUAGCUUAAGUUUGACAAAUUCAAGCUUAAGUUGCUGAACCGAAUCAGUUUGGUGUAUAAUACAUCUUGAUAUCAUGCAAUGUAACUAAACUUAGGAAAAUGUGUUAACCUGAAAUGACUUUUUAUUAUUGAAAACAUUUUACCAGCAUAAGCGUGAAAUUACCUACUCCCGAGGGCACAAGUUAUGUCGCCAUUGUGGGAACAUACCAUAUGACUCAUGUGCCUAAAUUGAUAUGUUGGAAUAUGUCACAUCAUUUUCUGAACUCUACUACGUAACUGUACAUCUAUAUUUUUAGUGAUCUACAUUCUUAUCUUAUCUUGUUCUUUAGCAAGGAUAGUAAUCUAUAUUUGUGUACUUGGAUGAGAUAAAAAGUUAUAACCUUCUCCCAGCAUGCCGAGAUACAUUUUGGUUGUUUGCUAUGUUCCAAGAGGUAGCAUGUCUCGAUCAAAUUAUUAUUCGAUAUGUUAUCUAUUUAUAGAGAUUUUGAUAGGCAUACACAAAUGAGGACAUCUUGCUAGCCAUGUCAUCAUACUCACGUGAUAAUAAGAUCUUCCUUUAGUUGUGUGUUUUUUGUCAUACUUUUGCUGAUUUGAGUAAUUUAUUCCGUGGUGUGAUUCUCAGGUGGUUCUCAGUACAAUACAUGAGUGUGCAGGUUAGUUGGUUAGCGAAGUGAAGGAUUCAGGACGACCAUUGAUGUGUGCUCCAUCUUUGUGAACUAUUCUUUUGUCUCAUAUACUACAUUUCGUAUGCUUCCUUAGUUUGAAGAUCAGAACAAUGAAGGUUCCUUACUAAGCAAUUACAUUAUUUGCUUUGCAUUUUGUGUUUUUAAAUAUACAUUAUUAGAAGGAAAAGAGGAAAUAUUUCUAUUUUUCUAUCCGGUCGUGCAUUGUUCAAUUCAAUCUAAUCAAAUUGUUUUACUUUAGUCAAGAGACCAUAUGGUUAACAAGUAUAUCCAAAUUAUUUAUAAUUCAUUUGUCUAAU